UGUCCUUUUGAUUUAUCUCCUUGUAUUUAGGGUGCCGUAUUAGGUUCACAGAGUGGAGUUUUGGAUAAGUUGUAGCGCUGUUGCAGAUCAUAAUACAGCUGUAAAAAAAAAUAGCAAUCUUGACGACUUUCUCGAGAGACGAAUCCUGAGGUUUUGACGUUUGCUCGAUAGAAAAAGAUUCAAAUUUUGUUACAAACUUUGCACAAUGUCUAAAAAUUAUGAAAAUUAAGCUAAUUUUACGGCUUAACUCACAUGUUUUUAGACUAAAAUUAGUAGAACAUUCAUUUUGUAUAUUCGUUAAAUUAUAUUCCGGACCUUAUCUGAAUCGAUGGUAAUGAUUGUUUUUAAAUGUACCAAACAAAAAUCUUAAUCCAUAACACAUUGAUGUUGUAUAUAUGUAUUCGUUAUGAAGGUAUUUUUUUAACAAAAGCGGAGUCCCCUCAAAUUUUUAUUUUCCACUACCUGACUAUAUUUAUUCCUGCGUUUAUCUCACUAGGGUUUGCACGACAGAUCUGAAAUGUAUGGGAAGAUCUGGGUAUCCGAAUCCAGAUCCGGAUAAUUUCAUACAUUUGGGAUCCGGUUUGCAAACCUUACAUCUCACCAUAAAACCUAUGUCUUUUAAUUACUAAAGAACACCUUUUUCAUAGGCAUCACAUACACGACCUCAAAGUUCGGGAGGCCUGUGAUCCUGUUCGACUCACCCGCUGGCCGCUAUAGGUUCAACCUGCACACACACAGCAUCGGCAAGCCAAGAGGGAACUGGUUCUGCACCCACAAGAAUGAAGGCUGCCGGGCGUCUAUCACCACAUUGGAUAGUGAAAUCGUCAAUAUCUCUAGUGAACACAAUCAUUGACGUUCUUGAUUAUGAUUCAACAUAUCAAUAUUUUUUAUUUUGGUAAUUUUACAAUUCGUAACCUACCUUUUGUUAUAUUAUACUAUACUUCACUGGCUCAGUGACCCAAACAGGAUCUUGGCCUCUGACACAAAAUAACGCCACUCUGCCCGUUAGAUAUUCUGAGGGCGGCAAGUUUUUGCAAUGUGCAAAAACUCUUUUGCGACUAAAUUAUCUGGUAUGGGUAUUAGGUACCUUAUUCUUUAUUUUUCUAUUUUUUAGUAUGAAAUACCAACUGGAUUAUUUAAAAAAAAUAUAUAUUGUAGACCUUUACAUAAGCAAUAAUGUUACGAAGAACUGUUGGUGUCGCUUUUCUAGAAAGCAAGGAAAAACUACUGAUGUUUUAAUUCCUAACUUUAUCCAAGAUUUUUUAAAUAAAUAUUAAAUAUUAUUUAAAGAAUAUAUGAGUAUUUAUAUAGAGAUUACCGUACCAAUAGUUUACGUAAAUCGUAUUAGCCAGUGUGGGAUUUUUUAUUUAUUUAUAAAAAGUUGUAAAAAAUCAUAUCUCAGAAAAUAACAGAGAUAGGAAGCUAAAACUUAUACAAGAAAUAAUACUUGUCAUAAGGGCUCUUAAUAAAAAAAAUACUGUAAACAUUUCGUGGAAGGGCCGCUUUUCCAUGAAAACACGGCUACGCUCUUUGCUAAUUUUAUAUUCAUAGUUACCAAUUAAAAUGUUAUCAAAAUAAAAACAUUUUAACGGAAGUGAUCUCUUUCACAAUCUAAAGAGUAAUCAAGUUUUCACACAUAAAUAUUGGGUAUAUAUUUACUUAAUUUAAAUAUUUAAUCGCCCUGUCUAUAUUCAAGUUUUGUCAGACUAAAAAUGCAUAUUUUAACAUCUUAUUAAAAGGUCGUUUCUCUCCGCAGACAUAAUAUGGACGACGUCAAAGUUCGGCCAGCCAGUGACACUGAUAGGCACAUACCGAUACAACUUGCACUAUAGGUCCAUAGACAAGGCUAGAGGCUCGUGGGCCUGCAGCAACAAAAACAGGGGCUGCAGGGCCUCCAUCACUACUGUAGAUAAUCAAAUUAUCAACGUGUCCUAUGAACAUAAUCAUUAAGUUUUUGAACCUUUAUAUUUAUUGUAAAUCUUUGUUGAAUUCAUUUUUUAAGUUACUUAAACAAAUGUUAUUAAAUGCUGUGUUGAUAAAAACAAAUCAGUUUUUCUGUGACACACGGCAAGCGAGAUGAAAGUUAAGCUAAACACUUAAGUUAAACGAAUGAAUAAAUGGAUAAUUGGACAUCUUUAACCUUUAUCUAUGUGUAAUUGUGUAUCUAAAUAGAUUCAUAAAUUAUUAAUGAUUUAUAUUUUUGACAUUUUAUUAUUUUCUACGAUUUUGCGAAGUGCAGGCUCAAGAGGUGUCUUUGAAAUUUGUGUCGUUAUUGACAAUUAUAUUUUAUUCUUAGAAAUCAUAUUUACCACGUCCAAGUUCGGGAGUCCUGCGAUCAUGGUUGGCAGCUAAAGAUUCAAUCUGCACUACUCUUGCAUUGGCAAAUCCAGGGGUAUAUGGGCCUGCACGCGGAGAACCAUGAAAUGCAGUGAUCUCUCAUUACGAUGGAUAAUGUUGUUAUUAAGAUCAAUCGUGACCAUAAUCAUUAAAGUAUUAUAAUUACCUAUCAACUUAUUGCAGUAUUAAAAAAUAAUACUUAAUGGUCCGUGUCAGUUAAUCCUUAUUGUCCUUUCUAAACAUGGAUUUGUUUUAUCCAUCAUCGUCUGUUAGCUCUCCACUUUUUAUAUGUCUAGUAGAAAGUAGUAGUAGAAAUACUUCUUGUUCAUCUAAGAAUACCUCUCAUUUAUAUCUUCUUAUUGUAGAUGAUGCUGUUGCUGUAGAUGAUGCUGCUGCUGGAGAUGAUGCUGCUGUUCUAGAUGUAGAUGUCAAACACACAACAUCGAGAUUCUUAUUUCUUCACAACAUCCAAGUACGGAAGACCUGUGAUAGUGCAGGGGAAGUACCGAUUCAACCUCCACAACGCCUGCUCCGGGAAAUCCAAGGGCAAGUGGUUCUGCACUGGUCGCACCCCACAUGGUUGCAAAGUGUCAAUUACAACCGUGGAUAAUGUCAUAGUGUAUGUCACUAAUGAACAUACACAUUAGUAUUAAUCCCUUUAUUCAUAAAAAUUGUCAAUCUGUCACAAACCUCUGUAAAAUUUUGUCUUUUUCUAAAAAUCAAUUUUAACAAAAUAUAGGGAUAAAAGAAAGAACUGCUUGUUAGAUGUAUUAUUUCUAUGAUUCCCAUAGCGCUCAUACUUGGAGAAACAAAUCGCCUGUACGCAGAGAACCAAGAAAUGCAGAGCGCCUCUCAUUACAAUGGAUAAUGUUUUUAUUAAGAUUAACCGUGAUCCUAAUCAUUAAAGUUAUAUAAUUACCUUCCUACUAAUUCUGAUAUUUAAAAAAAUACUUAAUGGUCUUGUCAGUCAAUUCUUAUUGUCCUUUCUUUUACAUGAAUUUAUUUUGCUCAUCAUCGUCUCUCUACUUUUUCUAUUUCAUUAUCAGUUCUCCACUUUUUCUAUUUCGGGUAGAAAGUAUGAUGCUGUUGCUAUAGAUGAUGCUGCUGCCGUAGAAGAUGCUGCUGCUGUCCUAGAUGUAGAUGUUAAACACACGACAUCGAGGUACGGUCAACCGGUGAUCAUCGCGGAUGGAUAUCGCUACAACCUUUGCCAGAAAUCUAUUGGGAAACGUAGUCAGACCUGGAAAUGCUCUAAAACGGGCUCCGGCUGCCGAAACACGAUGACUACUGUUGAUAACAAAGUAAUCAAGUUUAGAAAUGAACACAACCAUUUGUAGCAUGCUGAAUCUUCCUUAUCAUGUUACACAUAUAUGAACAUAGCAUUGUCCUAUUUUAAGUCGGUCUAAUAAAAUUCUUUGUUUGGGUCUCGAUUUUUUCUGUGUUGAAUGGACUGGGUGUCAUAACUACGAUGAUUAGAGAAAUUGGACAACGUAGGCAAACAAAUGUAUUUUUUGAUCAUUCUUAAAUAAAAAUGUUCUAAACGCCUCAAAAAUGAUAUUUGUUUAAUCAAGUUCACUUACACCAAUUCUGGUUUUGCAAAAUUAAAUAAAAACGGUACAACGGUUUCAGCCCUCAUGAAAUGGUUUCUGUGAGGGUUACAGCGUUUUUGCAAAUAGUAAUAAAAUAAUUAAUGUAAUUUCAGCAUUUAUCGCAAAAUAUAUAAUUUAUGAACGGCGAUUACGUCAUCUUUUUCUUCUUCCUAGCGUUGUCCCGGCAUUUUGCCACCUCUCAUGGGAGCCUGGGGUCCGCUUGACAACUUGAUUACGAUAGAUCGUUAAUGAUUUUAAAAAUUAAGAACAUUUACGCCCAGCGCGAGUUAGGUACAACUGUAGGUUACCGCCAUUUUAACAUGCGCCCGCGUCGGUCUCGCCGGAUACUAAGCACGAAUCAGUAUAUUGGCAACCGUCAAAGUGAGUGGCAAUGCGUAGUGUGAGUUUUUGAGUGCGGAGUGUGAAUAACUAUAUAGUCGUUAAACUGUUUUAGUUAAGAUUUAAUUACAUUACACGUUUAUGGUAUGUGUUAAUGUUCAAAAUUUAUAAUUUGUCUACCACUCUACCGUUCAUUUUAACAAAAUAAAAGCACCUAAUUAAUAAUAUUUCAUUUGACAAUAUAGGCAAUAAGGUAUGAUAAAUAUAAUGAAUAGAAACAUGUCGUCAAUUCAUAAUUCGUCAUCAACAAUGCAAGCUUUGUCAUGUGGACAAAAAGACAAAUCAGGCUUUUAUUUAUUUAUUUAGUCUUUAUUGCACAAAAGAAGAAAAUCUUACAGUGAAAAAGGCGGACUUAAUGCCACGAGGCUUUCUCUACCAGUCAACCUUAAGGCUAAGCAGAGAGAUUGUGAGCGGUGCUACAAUUACCACAGCAAAAGCAAAGCUUGGCUUUGUCAAUCUUAGCCACUGAAUUAAACUAGGUUAAGGUACCACCCCGGAGCGUAGCCGGCCCAAACGGCCCCAUGACACUGAAAAAUUUCCCCGUUGAGUUGCCAAGGAAAUCUGUUGGCCCAGAAACGGUCACUGAUGGUGGGACUCAGAUGGGACGUGGCAAAGGUGCGUCCCAUUAGUAACAACGACCCUACUGCCAAGGAACCAGGCUGUGACCAAAGCCUUGCGAAUCACCACUUUUAUCGCGUGGUAAUCCAAAAACCGCACAGCACACCUCUGACAACUACGGCCAUGCUGACCUCCUGAAGAUGUUGCAUCGUAAGGCAGACGCGAUCCUCAAGGAGUCCGUUUGAUAUUUUUUAGACUUUGUCAUUAUUAUAAAAGUAAGGAACAUUAAAAAAAAGUUAUGAAACCUGUUUUUCGCUCCAGACUCUUACAAUUAUUAAAUAAUAAGUUUGUAGGGAGAAUCGAUUGUUUCUUAAUCGUCUUGGCUUCUUCAAUGUUUUUCCUUCUCUAAAAUUUUCGUCUUAUACAAUAUUAAUUUGUUUUCCAGAACCGAUUUUUACAACAUCUCGCUACGGACGUCCGGUGAUCAUCCUAGGAAAGUACAGAUAUAACUUAAUGACUGGAUACUACGGAAAGACCAAGUGCAAGUGGUCUUGUACUGUGAAGAACAGGCGGUGCAAGGCGUCGCUCACGACCAUUGACAAUAGGAUUAUUGGCCUUAGUAUAGAACAUAAUCAUUAAUUGCUUUUCAACACAAUCGAUUUUCUAUGUAAUCUCCAGGUAUAUUAGUAUUAUUAAUCGCAAAUCUAGGUACUAGCUAGGGGUAUGGUUACGUAAUUACAAAAACUGUACUCUUUUUAUCUGGAUGAUUCAAAUUCACAAAUAACAGGUGGGUCAACAACAUUUUAUAAUGAGGUCACCUCUGUGGACAAUAUUAUAAAAGUAAACGACUCUUAUUUGAGUCUAAAGUGCCUACUGAAGAAUGUUAUCCCGCCUUUAAGGGUGUAGCAUCAAAUUUAGCUUUAGAUUUCCUUAACUUUGUUAUGUUUACAGGGAAGACGCGAACGACUUAAUCAUUAAUCUUAAUCAACUAUAAAAGGUUUAAGUCAAUAGUUAUUUGGUUUACAAGGUGGCAAAGUUGUUGUUUAACCCCCAAUAUUAAUUAUACCCGCGUAAGCGAAAGAUUCCAAAAUGAAACCACGAGCGUGACGAGUGGUUCGAAACUGGAAUCUUGAGUGUAGUGAGGGAUUCAAGGCACAAUGAUCAAACAAACUUUGCCGCCGAGUGAAACACAAUUUUUUUCACUACACCAACGCAAGAAAAAUACUAACUAAAAUAUCAAAAAAAUCAAAGCAAAUCGAUUAAUGAUAUUUAAUAUUUUUCAUUCAAAAUCGUCAUUUAAAAGUCAAUUUUACCAGACAACAUAAGGAAAUAACUCAAAAUUUGCAUUUAAUUACUUCGCUGUACCUAUGUAGGAUGCAAGUAUGUGGAUAAAAUGCAACUUUCUUAUCAGUUUUUGAAGUACCAAGAGAGCCUUUACCAGCUGGUGUGGUGAAAAAUAUAAAUUGCGACUAUUCUCUCAGUUCUAGGAUUAAUGUUCCUAUUUAGCAUAUAACAGGCGAAUUUAUUAAUAUAACUUGUAUACAUUAUAUAUUUGCGAUUUAUUUAUUUAAUGAACAAUUUUUUUAUUAUAUAAUACCUUUCUGAAGCUACUCGCUUCCGGAAGGCUGCCUAGGAUGCUGGCGGCAAUGCCCCUUGGCACCGCCAGACUUAUAUAUUUUGGAAUACAUUCAGUUUAGAAAAUAACAGAAUUAAAUUAUAUUUAAGUGAUGAGUUUGUUUUAUUUCUGAGAUCUGUAAUACAAAUAAAAUAAAUUAGCUUAUGAAUGAUGGACUAAUAAUUAAGUAGUAUACCAUAUAAGGGAAUUCAUACCUAGGGAUAUCUAACGAUGAAAGUAUGAUUCCCUAAAGCCACAAUGCCCUCUAGAUAAUUCUACAGCAAGUUUUGUUUCCACGCUGAAGAAUGAUAGCGUAAAUAUAAUUCGUAGGUAUUUGUAAAAUACGUUAUACCUAAAUAUUUUCAAAGUGUCCCUAUCCAUCAUUACAGAAACCUAUCGUAUUAUUCCCACAGUUACCUUCAGCACUUCAAGCAAAGGCAACCCAGUCCUCCAGCUAGGCCGGUUCCGCUUCUGCGUGGAAACCAAGAACGACUACAAGAUAACUUGGGUGUGCGGCAAGAGGUCCAGCGCGGGGUGUCGCGCCCGACUGACCACUUUUCAGGGGGAGAUCAUUAAGAGCAUGAACAUGCAUAAUCACGACUAAUCAUAUUGGGCUACCCGAUCCUCCUCGGCGAUUACCGCUUCAACCGCAACAACGACAAGCGUCAAGUCAACGAUACCAUCGGCAAGAUGGCGUGGGUCUGUGUGUAUAAAAACAACGGUGCCGCGCCAGAAUCAUUACUAUUGAAAAUCAGAUUUUUAAAGCUAAUCUUUACCUUAAUCACUGAUUGAUCUUAAGAAUUAGGAUAUUAGGAUCUCGAUAACUUGAGUGUCGCAGUACAGAUAUGCCAUCCAUAAAUGGUCGUCAAUUUAUGCCUUACCUUAUCCAUCUAGUGCGAAAUCGUCGAUGGCACUAUCUAGUUUUAGAUUUAGAAGAACAUCAAGAUUCAAUGCAACAUUCAGUCUAGCUCUGAUAAAUAGAAAUUUGUUCUGAAUAAAUUCAGUCAAACCAAGCCACUAUUUUGACUGUAAUCGAAACAUCGUAUGAAUUAUAUUAGUUGUGAAAAUUAAUUUAGUCAAUGAGAUGAGUUUAUUAUUACAUCGCGUAAUCUCAUCAUCUUGCAAUUAAACAUGGUGAGUUUUUCCUUUGUUGUGCUUUUUUAUUUAUCCUCUUUCAACUUCUUAUGUUUGUUUCUUUUUACAAGUACCUAGUUGAUAAUUAUUACUCUAAGUUAGUCCCAUAGGUACAUCGGUAUUUUCUUUUGUUACAGUGGUACUGCUAAAGUUCGCCAAGUCAAGAUUAUGCACAACUGUUCUAAAGUGUGGUGACAUUACUUUCGACAAGAACAAAAAGUUAAAAAAAGAUCACCUGGAACUGUAAGUUGUAAAGCCUAAAUCGUAACCGAAGAUGAAAACGUCCGACGGAUUAAUUUAGAUCAUAAUCAUUACAUUUUUUAUUCUUUGAAUUACGAUUAACAUGAAAAACGACCGCUUCUAACGUGA